rnacentral:pre_miRNA from 1 species
UUAGUUCAUAUUUGUAUGGAAUGGGAUCGUUUGUGUACGUUUGCCGCUAGGAGCGCUGUUCCAACUGCAUACAAAAUUGGGUUA